AACAGAUGAAGAGUAAUGGGUGGAGCCCUAAACAUCUUGCGGAGAGAUUGGUGAUACAUCCAUUUUAUCCUCCUUGGGGUUGUAGUCAAUUCUGCCAAUCUUCUGACUACCUCCUCAUUCCAGCACAUGAUUUUUUGCUUCUUGCUGCCUCCAACUCACCAUUUUCUUAGACCGCUGAUCAACAAUUGCUGACAGGUAUGUGAAUGUCUCAAGUUGACAUGGUUCAUUUGCAAAAGUGGGAGAGGAACCAAAGGCAGAAGUGUACAUGCAUUUCAGGCAGAAAAGCCCAGGUUGAAUUCCCGGAGAAGGGAAUACUGGGCUGGACAAACCAAUAAUCUGCCUCACAAGUGCUCUACAGUAGGGAUACAACAGUUUACUGGUGGUGGCAAUUGUCCUUCUUAUGAUAGGAAUUGCUAUGUGAGAGACAAAGAAUGGGGAUUGAGGAGGGUCAAUAGGAGAGGAAUUAAAAAUGACCCUAUUUUCAUCUGAGGAAUAUUCAGGGAUAUGUCAAUGUAUUUGGGAUUGAACAGAAGUGUCCCCAUGUCCCGUAAAAGAACAAAAACAAAAAAACAGGUUGCUCUUCAAAGUUGCCCCUAGUGGGUUGGGAAAUUAAAGAGCUGAUGGGCCAGUAGAAAACCACAGGAGUGGAGAUGGCUGUUGUGUUCUGAAGCUGUUUGUAGGCUUCCCUUAAGCAUCUGUUUGGCUAUUGUGAGACCAGGACAGUGGAUUUCAGUUGAGUUUUAUUUUAUUUGGUUUUGUUAAAUAUCACAUUUUAAUAAUGGUACAAACUUACACAUGCCUUCCCAAAGCAUCGUUUUGUUAUGGUUUUUUUAUGUUGAAAGCUUUCCACUGUGGCUGGGGAAAGCAGUCAGAUGUGUGGGGUACUAAUAAUCAUAAUGGCUUUUGUUUUGCUGGUCACCAGAGCUGCUCAACUCCUUCUCCCGUUCCUCUUCUACACUCCAGAUUUGAAGCACUGAGCCCAUCUCACCAUCCCACUCCCAGGGUUUAGGACACGGUAUGUUAGUUUGAGAUGUCAAGUCUGACUCACAGAGCAGAAGAGGGGAAUUUUAGUUCAAAAAUGAAAUGCUUAAAGACUUUCUGAGAGAUCAGACACAAAGAGUAAGGAUUGGACCUGUUACAUCUACCUGCCUGAAGCUCAGCACUGGCACUCCACAGGGACGCGUGCUAAGUCCAUACCUGUAUUCAUUGCAUACAUAUGAUUGCAUUUCAUCUGACCCAUCUACUGCAAUUAUUAAGUUUGCUUAUGACACCACCAUAAUGGGUUUUAUUACAGGCGGAAAUGAAUCUGCGUACAGGGGGGAGGUUCAAAUGGUAUCCACAUGGUGCUCAGAGAACAAUCUGCACCUAAACAUUGGCAAGACAAAGGAGAUGGUGUUGGACUUUUGGAGGAAGAGAGGGGAGCUAGUCCCGUUGCAUAUCACGGGGGGCUAUGUGGAGAGAGUCUCUUCCUUUAAAUACCUUGGAGUCCAUCUUAGUGAAGACCAAACUUGGAAGGUCAUAUAGAACAGGUGGUUAGGAAGGCCCAAAAGAGACUUCAUUUCCUUAACGUCUUGUGAAAGAACAAGGUUGGACAGCAACUGAUGAUUUCCUUCUAUCAGUCUCAUACUGUAUUAUGGUGUGGUACGCUGGUUUGACAGCCAUAGACAGAGUCCCUAUGGAGGGUGGUUAAGACAACACACGAUAUUGUGGGCUGUCCCCUGAGUCCGCUAGAUGCCAUUGUGGGAGACCGUUGUCUCAGAAGGGUGAGGAACAUUCUAAGGGAUGACUCACACCCUGGCCAGCACAUGAUAAGCUGCACCAACAGGCUAAAGAACAUUUUCUACCCGUGGGCUGUGAGGCUGCUGAAUGGAAGACAGCAACAUUGCAGCUGUCGUUUGGGGUUGGUGGUCGUACGACAGCACACAGAGUGUAACAAGGACUGAGAGAUUGUGGAGGGGGGGCUCAUUUAAUCUCACUGUAAACAAGUGGUAUAGUGACAAUAAAGUAUUUCUAUUUCUUAUAUGAGUGUCUCACUUUAAUAUGGUUGAGCUUUGUAGGCAAAACUGACUCCACAUUUGUUUCUUUUCUCCUGGUAGGAAAAGUCAUGGAAGGAUUAGCUCAGAAGUAGAGAUCCUGCAAGAUGAGCAAUGAUGGCCUGGGAUCCUGGUCCCCUCGGAAUGCCUCAUGGGAAGACAUUGGAGCAGAAAAUGGAACUGACAUCCUAACCCCCCAGGAUGGUUUUGAUCAUAAAUUAUCACUAAAUCGUAUAGCAGUAAUUAUUCUAUAUUUCUUAAUUAUAGUUAUUAGCAUUUUUGGACUUAUGGGGAAUGGAACUGUCAUCUGGUUUCUUGGUUUUUGCAUGAAGAGGAAUCCUUUUACCACUUUCAUACUACAUCUGGCUGUUGCUGACCUUGGGGCUCUCAUGAGCUUAUCUUGUUCUUCGAUUAUGAGAAUUUUGAGUUUAUUUUUAUUCUUAUCUUUGCAUAGGAACUUGUUAGUAGUAUUCGACUAUUUGUUGUUGUUCAUGUACAACACUGGUCAAUAUCUGUUGACAGCCAUUAGCAUGGACAGGUGUGUUUCUGUCGUCUUCCCACUUUGGCAUAGAUGCCACCGACCACCACACUUUUCCACCCUUGUGUGUGCCACAAUAUGGAUCAUUUCUGUCCUGCUCUCUGUAAUCAGCAUGAUUCUUUUUAAUUUUAGAGAUACAAUGAAUGCCCUUUUCUAUCUGCUUCUAAUUAAUGCUAUACUUUGCCUCGCACUCAUGACUGUUUCCACUCUUGUCCUGUUUAUAAAAGUUUACUUCAGAUCACAACUGAGGAAGAAGGGAAAAGCUUUAACAGCCAUCCUGCUUGCCCUCCUUUUCUUCCUCUUCUUAGCUUUCCCAUUUACUUGCAUUUUAUUAAUCAGUUUUUCCACUUUACUUAUGCACUAUAAUGUUAAUUUUUUUGCAAUAUUUGUUGGGUUAUUAUGCAGCUGCCUGAAUAGCAGUAUUAACCCACUGAUUUAUUUCCUGAUUGGGAGAAACAAGAGGGCUCAAUCUAGGGAGAGCAUGAAGGUCAUACUCCAGAGACUUUUCAAAGAGGAGGGAAACUGCAGAGAGCAACAAGAAGUUCCAGUUCAAACCCGG